rnacentral:rRNA from 1 species
UACGGGGGGAGCAAGCGUUGUUCGGAUUUACUGGGCGUAAAGGGCGCGUAGGCGGUCGUGACAAGUCACUUGUGAAAUCUCCGGGCUUAACUCGGAACGGUCAAGUGAUACUGUCGGACUAGAGUACAGAAGGGGCAACUGGAAUUCUCGGUGUAGCGGUGAAAUGCGUAGAUAUCGAGAGGAACACCUGCGGCGAAGGCGGGUUGCUGGGCCGACACUGACGCUGAGGCGCGAAAGCGUGGGGAGCAAACAGG